rnacentral:rRNA from 1 species
AUUGAACGCUGGCGGCAGGCUUAACACAUGCAAGUCGAGCGAGCGGCGGACGGGAGAGCAAUGUCUGGGAAACUGCAUGAUGGAGGGGGCUAACUACUGGAAACGGUAGCUAAUACCGCAUACCAUCAGAUGUGCCAAGAUGGGAUUAGCUAGUAGGUGGGGUAAUGGCUGACCUAGGCGACGAGCCCUAGCUGGUCUGAGAGGAUGACCAGCCACACUGGAACUGAGACACGGUCCAGACUCCGAGGUGAGGCAGCAGUGGGGAAUAUUGGACAAUGGGCGCAAGCCUGAUGCAGCCAUGCCGCGUGUGUGAAGAAGGCCUUCGGGUUGUAAAGCACUUUCAGCGAGGAGGCGUUACUCGCAGAAGAAGCACCGGCUAACUCCGUGCCAGCAGCCGCGGUAAUUC